rnacentral:piRNA from 1 species
UAAAUAAAAAUUGGAAUGGAA